rnacentral:hammerhead_ribozyme from 1 species
AUCCAGUUGAAGAGUUCCACACAAGACGAAGUGUGCAUCUUGGAU